GUUGGGGAAACAAGCCACAUUCUUUUCUGGCUACCUCUCCUCUUGUUUCUCAGUGCCGUGUUUCCUGGUCGGCCUGGUCUGCACCUCUGGGCUCUCACUGAGGGCUGCUCCACUACAGCAGCCCCGGGGGAGAACAGCAAGAACCACAGUCCUGGCUCCUUCCUUCCUUUCCUUCUAAGGAAGCAUCGAGUCCCUGGAGCUGCCUUCAACUGCUCUCACCUGCCCCACCCGGUCAGCGGUUCAGCGCUCCCAGUAAAGUGUCAGGCCUCCGCCAAGACCGCGCAUUGAGCAAUCCCACAGCUGAGUGUUUGCCCCUGGCACUUCAUGCUUCACAACCAGCACCACCCUCUCUGUGGCCUCCUCUAGAAGGUUCUCUGCUCAGACCUCCUGGCCUGGGAGACGGCAAUGCUGGAAAUCAGUUUGGAUUGUUGGUGGUCUUAUGGAGACAGAACAUAGCUACCUGAGGGAGUAAAUGUCACUGUGUCAUUACGUUCGUGACAGUGCUUAGGAAUCUAGAGGCUCCCGAUGAGAAUAUGGAGCUUGAAGCAUCCCUCAGCCCAGCUACCUGGGCCAGGUUUGAGAAGUUGAGAAAUUGAUUAGAGCUGGUGCCUGACACGCUAAGAUCCAAGACUGAGGAAAGUGGCAUGGUCUGGUCCUGGAAAUGCAAUGAAUAAGGGGAGAACACGUCCAACAUUACAGGCUUACAGCCACCUGGACUGUCUCUGAAUUACAAGGGGACAUCAAAGAAAGAAGAGAAUUCUAGUGGAGAGUAUCUACUCACCAAAAGCCAGCAAGUGAUGAGAACACUUAAAGAUAUAAUUUGGAGAGUGAUCAGAGCUUCACACUGAGAAGAUGACUGUGGAAUCUAGAGGGCCUUGUUCAGAAAUGGUUACCUCUGCCAUAUCUGCAUCUAAUGACAAUGUAAAAGGAACACGAGCAGAAGAGAAUGCUUAAGGGUAUGGAAGUUCCUCAGGUAUAAAUAUUGAACUUGAUAAGUCAACUUGUCCAAUAGUCACCGAUUCUCCUUCCCUUUAUUGGAUCAGUAUGUUCUGGAAAGUUUGUUUCAUAUACACCUCAAACUGACUUCUCUAUUCCAGAUAAGAAAUUGGCCAAGAGAUACUUGCUUGCUGUUCUUCCCCCAUCUCCUUAUGUCCUGAGUUGUUCUUACUUUUCACUAGCCCCCUCCCUGACAUUCUAAGUAACAGAUACUUUUCUGCUGCUAAAAUGGAACAUCCCCUAAACUAAGAUGUAAGGGUAGAUACAUGUUUUGUAUAAUACAGUCCCGCGUGUAGAACAUCUGACUCCUUUACUCUGUGGGUGGGUGAAA